UCGUGGGGCCCCAGCCCCGUCGAGAUAUCACCCUUGCCUUUUUCGAGCACCGUUCCGUUUCCUCGGCAGGCCCGCCUGCCAACGGGGACCCCAACCAAACCCUUUUGCGUACCUGCAACCGUCUGAGAAACGAAGCAAGACAAUCA
rnacentral:misc_RNA from 1 species